rnacentral:rRNA from 1 species
UACGAGGGGAGCAAGCGUUGUUCGGAUUUACUGGGCGUAAAGGGCGCGUAGGCGGUCGUGACAAGUCACUUGUGAAAUCUCCGGGCUUAACUCGGAACGGUCAAGUGAUACUGUCGGACUAGAGUACAGAAGGGGCAACUGGAAUUCUCGGUGUAGCGGUGAAAUGCGUAGAUAUCGAGAGGAACACCUGCGGCGAAGGCGGGUUGCUGGGCUGAUACUGACGGCUGAUGCGCGAAAGCCAGGGGAGCGGACGGGAUUAGACGUACCC